GAUGAACGCUGGCGGCGUGCCUAAUACAUGCAAGUCGAGCGAACGGACGAGAAGCUUGCUUCUCUGAUGUUAGCGGCGGACGGGUGAGUAACACGUGGAUAACCUACCUAUAAGACUGGGAUAACUUCGGGAAACCGGAGCUAAUACCGGAUAAUAUUUUGAACCGCAUGGUUCAAAAGUAAAAGACGGUCUUGCUGUCACUUAUAGAUGGAUCCGCGCUGCAUUAGCUAGUUGGUAAGGUAACGGCUUACCAAGGCAACGAUGCAUAGCCGACCUGAGAGGGUGAUCGGCCACACUGGAACUGAGACACGGUCCAGACUCCUACGGGAGGCAGCAGUAGGGAAUCUUCCGCAAAGGGCGAACGCCUGACGGAGCAACGCCGCGUGAGUGAUGAAGGUCUUCGGAUCGUAAAACUCUGUUAUUAGGGAAGAACAUAUGUGUAAGUAACUGUGCACAUCUUGACGGUACCUAAUCAGAAAGCCACGGCUAACUACGUG
rnacentral:rRNA from 1 species